AGUCGAGGGGUAUAAGGAGCUUGCUCCUUAGAGACCGGCGCACGGGUGCGUAACGCGUAUGCAAUCUACCUUUCACAGAGGGAUAGCCCAGAGAAAUUUGGAUUAAUACCUCAUAGUAUAUAUGGAUGGCAUCAUUUGUAUAUUAAAGUCACAACGGUGAAAGAUGAGCAUGCGUCCCAUUAGCUAGUUGGUAAGGUAACGGCUUACCAAGGCGACGAUAGGUAGGGGUCCUGAGAGGGAGAUCCCCCACACUGGUACUGAGACACGGACCAGACUCCUACGGGAGGCAGCAGUGAGGAAUAUUGGUCAAUGGGCGCAAGCCUGAACCAGCCAUGCCGCGUGCAGGAUGAAGCAUCUAUGGUGUGUAAACUGCUUUUGUACGGGAAGAAACAGAGGUUCGUGAACCUCCUUGACGGUACCGUAAGAAUAAGGAUCGGCUAACUCCGUGCCAGCAGCCGCGGUAAUACGGAGGAUCCAAGCGUUAUCCGGAAUCAUUGGGUUUAAAGGGUCCGUAGGCGGUUUGGUAAGUCAGUGGUGAAAGCCCAUCGCUCAACGGUGGAACGGCCAUUGAUACUGCCAGACUUGAAUUACUAGGAAGUAACUAGAAUAUGUAGUGUAGCGGUGAAAUGCUUAGAUAUUACAUGGAAUACCAAUUGCGAAGGCAGGUUACUACUAGUGGAUUGACGCUGAUGGACGAAAGCGUGGGUAGCGAACAGGAUUAGAUACCCCGGUAG
rnacentral:rRNA from 1 species